GGUGGUCGGACAUAAGGGAAUCCGCCCAGCCUGUUGUUCGCAGGCAGGUUGGUUUGAGCGGAAAGCUGGGUUUUUCAUUGAGUAACAUAACCAGGCAGACAGACGACUGAAGAAGCGACGUUUUCCCUCAAUCUCACUGCAUACAAAGAGCGAAAAAAAAUGAAUUUGGAUUAACGUCGCACUUAAAAAAAAAGCCAAAACAGAUUUAUUGUUUUAAAUAUCCAGUUAAGCCACUCAUUUUAAUGCAUCAGAAUUAGCUUCCACCCUUCCUCCAGCUAAAGCUUUGUUUUGUAAAGGGAAAAUGCCUUACUGUAUUUACUGUUGUCCAUAAUGGAACUACUUUUACUCUCAUCAAAGCAAAAUGGGCUGCAUAAAAAAUGACACUCAAACGCUACUGCCUCGUAUGCAACUUAUUUCCUGGAUUGGAGAAUGGAAAAGUUGACUCUUAUACAUUGCUGAUGCAUUUCUAGCAGGCUACAACAGAUGCAAGAAAUCUGAUUCCCUCGGAAGUAUACUAUCCCAGGUAAAGUCUGCAACAACAAAGCAAGUAAUAUGACAGAUGCAAGAUGAAUGCUGAACCUUCAACAAAGACUUUUCUGCCAGUCUGUUACAGCAAUCUACUGGCCUUUUGGAUCAGGCCAAGUAAAUAUUGCAUGGAAUAAUGUUGUAGCUGUAUCGAGAACAAAUGAUAAACUAGUUAGUUUUAUCUUCAUUCCAGUCUGAAAAAAAUCAUUCCAUGUUCAGUUUUCUCCCCCAUAUAGUUCUUCCAACAUCAAGAAUUUUCAUGACCCAGAACAUUUUCAAAUGUUGCAUAUUCUCAAAAUUAUAAACAACCUUUGUAAAUGUAUAACCAACAUUGAACAAACAUUCCUAUUGUGCGUGUAUAAAUAGCAUACAUUUUGUUUUUGACAAAUAUGCAAUAUUACUUCUGAUCUGACAUGCAGAUAAAACAAAUUCUUAUUGUACUUAAAGUAAAAUGUAUUCUUCUUAUCAUUGUUUUCAAUUUCAUCUUUUGAACUUCUGCAUCUGGAUAUGAUUACUUACUUGCAUAUGUGAUUUUAACGUUUCCAAACGCACUCAUGUAUUGCACUCCUUGUUCAUGAGUUUAGCUUCUUUAAUUGAUUUAUACAAUCAAAACAGUUCUUUUGAUUCAGUCUGCAUUAAAGAUAAUGUUCUGUGUAAACCACAGCCCUAAUCCUAUUGACCUAAAAUUCUAUAUUCUUUUACAGUCCUUGGAUUAGAUAUGCUGAUUAAC